rnacentral:ribozyme from 1 species
AGAACAGUUAAUGAAAAAGAGAAAGAAAACCCCAUGCAAAACUUUAAUCUCCCUUUUCUUCUCUUUCCGCAGCAGGGUCUCACCUUAGUUUUUCUUUUUCUUUUUCUUCUUCUCU